rnacentral:rRNA from 1 species
AUACGGAAGGUCCGGGCGUUAUCCGGAUUUAUUGGGUUUAAAGGGAGCGCAGGCGGAGAUGCAAGCGUGACGUCAAAUUUCGGGGCUCAACCCCGUCUCGCGUCGCGAACUGCGUCCCUUGGUUGCGGGAAGGGGAGGCGGAACUCGUGGUGUAGCGGUGAAAUGCAUAGAUAUCACGAAGAACUCCGAUCGCGAAGGCAGCCUUCCGGCCCGUCAACGACGCUCAUGCUCGAAGGUGCGGGUAUCAAACAGGAUUAGAUACCCUGGUAGUCCGCACUGUAAACGAUGGACACCCGCGGUUUGGCCUGUAUGGCUGAGCCGCCAAGCGAAAGCGUUAAGUGUCCCACCUGGGGAGUACGCCGGCAACGGUGAAACUCAAAUGAAUUGACGGGG